UUCAUUUUAUUUUUUAAUUAUAAACAGUUUUACCUUACCUUAAUAGGUUUUCAUGCUGUAUAUUGCAAUUUUUGUUCCCAUGUUCAGUCUACCUAUGGCACAUUGAUUAUGAAUCACCCUGUAUAUUGAAUAUUGUUAGAAAAUUUGGGUCAGGCAUAGCCUGAACAACUGUUCCUAUAUCUGGAAUGUUAAAACCAUUGACUAGUAACGCGCAUAUAGCUUGCUUACUGAAAGUGAUUAUUGGAAACCUACUUGUUUAUUAAAUAGGACUAUGAUUUUCUAAAUGUCAUAUCUAAUUUACAUUUUGAAAGUGAUGCAUUACAGGCAGACAAGUAGCUGAGGAUUGGGCAAUACCCAAGGAUAAGUUUGUAACUACACAGACUUCUUCCACCUCAGGAGGCCAAAAGAAAGAAAAUAGAGGAUCCUGACAGCAGUAAUGAAAGUGAUGGUGAAGAGAUAAAAAAGCCAGCUGACACACUCUCUAACAAGAAAACAAAGGCUGAAAAUCAGAUGGCGAGUUAGGGGGAAGCUGAAGAUUCUGGGAAUGAUCCUGAGAGUUUUAAGGGUAUGAUUGCAUUUGAUGAUGAGGAGGAGAGUGAUGAAGAGGCUGGAGGCACUGGCUCUGAUCAGGAGGAGGAGUCUGAUCUGAGUGAGCUUGGUUUGGAAGAUGAAGACGAAGAUGACUGCAGUGACAAUGACGAUGAAGAAAAGAUCAAAGAAUAAGAAAGCCCCUCCUCAAGAUGUUAUUGAAGGGAAAACUUAUCAGGAACCUGUCUUUUGACACAGAAGAUGAUGGGUUAGAGGAGUUUCUUCUGAAGUUUGGAGAACUUAAAUAUGUCCUUAUUGUGCUUCAUUUUGAUACUGAGGACUCCAAAGCCCUUCUGUAACAUAUGAGACCCUGGAGAGAACUGUUAACAUGAUGUUGUGUCUUUACCCAGUUUAAGACAAAAGAAGCUUCAGAAAAGUGUAUUGCUGAAGCUCAGGAUGAAUCUGAGAACGGAGGUCUGAAAGUAGACGGCAGGACGUUGAACAUUGUCUUGGCAGUCAGUCGGGUGGAUGCUAUGAAGCCCACAGGAACAUGGAACUUAUACCUGGCGAGA